GGCCUAUUGAAAAUAAUUUUAGGUCCAACCUGCCCAAUGAUAAUUUAAUGGCCGCAGUAAUUUGACUGUGCAAAGGUAGCAUAAUCAGUAGUUUUUUAAUUGAAAGCUUGUAUGAAAGGUUAGAUGAGGAAAAGGCUGUCUCUAUCUAAAUUUAUUAGAAAUUUAUUUUUAAGUGAGAAAGCUUAAGUAAUUGUAGAAGACGAGAAGACCCUAUAGAAUUUUAUAAUUAUUUAAAUAAAUUAUUUUUAGAAUUGUAGGAUUUAUUUAUGUAAUUUUUUAAUUGGGGUGAUUGAAAAAUUAAGUAAACUUUUUUUCCAUUAAAUCAUUAAUUAAUGAGUCUUUGAUCCUUUAUUUAAGAUUAAAAGAUAAAAUUACCUUAGGGAUAACAGCGUAAUUUUUUUCGAAAGUUCAAAUUGGAAAAAAAGUUUGCGACCUCGAUGUUGGAUUAAAGAAAAUUAUUGGUGUAGAAGCUAAUAAGUAAGGUCUGUUCGACCUUUAGAACUUUACAUGAUCUGAGUUUAAACCGGUGUGAG
rnacentral:rRNA from 1 species